GGAUGAGUUGGUUUUUUGAACUAGAACAAGAUUGGAUCAAUUUGGAGUGGUGAAUAAUGCUAUAUAUUCCAAUCUAUGUGAAUAUGCUACAUACACACUACUUCAUGAGAUCGGUUUUGAUGCUGAUAUAAAGUUAGCAGUGUCCGAUGCCACAAUCAAAUAUAUCUCACCUUUGAAGAGGAAAGAUAGAUAUUUGCUAAAAGUGAGGUUAUAUGAUUAUUCAACUACUCGAUUCUUUUUUGAGGACCAAGUAUUCAGGCUACCAGAUCAUAAGCCGAUUGCAUGGGGUACGGCCACAUUGGUUCUACUAGACGAGAGGCUACGCCCAACACGAAUCACACCUUCGAUGAUUUCCCAAUUCAACAAAUUCCUACAAACACACACAAACAAAUGAUGCUCGAGUUUUUAAUAAACUUGGAUUAUUGUAUUUGUAUUGUUCUUGUUAUAUUGGAUAUUGUAUUUUUGUGUCGUUCGUUUUUGUUGAUU